AUUGAACGCUGGCGGCAGGCCUCACACAUGCAAGUCGAGCGAGCGGCGGGCGGGUGAGUAAUGCCUGGGACUUGCCCAGUCGAGGGGGAUAAAAGUUGGAAACACCUGCAAAUACCGCAUACGAUUGGUAUGCCCAGGUGGGGUUGGCUAGUGGGUGGGGGAAUGGCUCACAAAGGCGACGAUCCCUCGCUGGUCUGAGAGGAUGAUCAGCCACGUGGGAACGUAGACACGGUCCAGACUCCGACGGAGGGCAGCGUUGGGGAGUAUUGCACAGUGGGGGAAGCCCUGAUGCAGCCAUGCCGAGUGUUGAAAGAGGGCCUUCGGGUUGUAAAGCACUUUCAGCGAGGCGGCGUUACUCGCAGAAGAAGCACCGGCUAACUCCGUGCCAGCAGCCGCGGUAAUAC
rnacentral:rRNA from 1 species